AAUCAAAAAAAAAAUGUCACUUUUUUGAGCACCGGUUACUUGAAAAUGUCGUAUAAAGUCUUUAUAAUGAAAUAGAUUCAGAAGAAAGAGCACAAAAUAACUUAUACAAUAGAAAGAAAUAAACCUAAAAUAAAUUUGUUACAUGGUGACGAUUAAACAAAUAAUGGCACUCAAUUAAAUUUCAAUAUUGACGUAUAAAAGUCAAAGCCUCAAUAUAAAGCAAAGAACUUCACAUAUUUGAUGAACCAGCUAACAACAAGUCGCCCAUUUUAUGAGUUCUUUAGGAUGGUGCAGGUGUAGGAAAGAGUCGUUUGAUAUCAGCAAUAAUCAUAUGCAGAUUUUAACCAACAUUACAAUUCUACACCUGGAGCAGACAUCAGCAUUCAGAACAGAACGGCUUCCCCUAAAAUAAUACGGAUGGUUACAUUGGAUUGAAACACAGAUAUGCAAUUAUCGCAAGGAAUGUUUGAAUACCAGAGAACGCGACCCAUUAAGGUGUAGCAUAUUAGCAUGACAACCAUUGGAAUACCAUAGAAUGUGGAACUCCUAUAUGAAUUACCAUAAACAUUUUCAAUACACGCACACUACAUAUACAUAUAUAUGUAUUAUAGUUACAAAGAGAGAUUGAGAGGAUAUGUUUUUGUUGUAAUACUGAUCGUUCUUUCUAACCAAAAUCGCUACUUAYGUACAUAUGUAUAUAACUUUUAAAAUUAUAUUCCGACAAGGGAGGAACACCUUUUAAGAUAACUUCGAAAGGGCGAAUGAAGAGAAGUUUUCACUUGUCAACCAUCACCAACAGAAGUUUGCCACGCUUGCAGAGUGAAAAUUGUUCUUAGAAAACACGUUUUGAUAUUAUUUGGAAUUUGGAUCGAAGACAGAAACUACGGGGUAACGCUUAUCUCUUGCAUUUAUAUAGAGAAGAAUUAUAUGAUAUACAAUGUUCGGUUGCAUGUGUUGAAUACAAUGCUCGCGACAGACCUCAAACG